ensembl:lncRNA
GGUGUGGUGCUAGGGAUUUGUCCUACAGAGAGGCUCCCCCGUGUGACGGUAACUUCGGUACAAGGUAUCCUCUUUUGCCUUGGCAGCGGCAGCAGAAUAAGCAGAACUUCGCCAAGCACUCAUCAGUUAAAAAAAAAGCAAAGACAGGGAGGAUCUGUAGUUGAAUUCACAGCUGCCACUUUUCCCUAACAUCCCAAAGACAAUUCUGGAAGCUCCUUUGCCUUGUCUUCCCCUGCCUCCUGUCUUCAUACAGCAGGGGCUGACCCAUGGGGCUGGAAGCAGAGGGUCUGUCUGAGGAGAGGGCAGAGCCAACCCUCUGCUUUCUCUGAAAAAAAACUGCAGGAGCCACAGAGACUGGGAUCAUCCGGAACAGCUGUGCAGCCUCGGUGAACUGGCUGAACCUCUCUGGGCCGACAUUCUCAUUAUGGAAACUAGUGGAGAAGGAAGAGCCCAGCAAGGAGACCCUGGGAUUGCCCGGUUCCCCAGCAUCAGCAUUACUUGGCAGCCCACCUCAGCACCUCUUGAGAACCAUCCUCCACAGUCAUUUCCUGUGGUUGAGGUGGCUGCCUGCCCCACCGCCUGGGCAAUCAGAACCAGGGACUGUAUCCAGGAUGGGCGUGCUCAGUGGACAGAAAGGAAGCCUCAAGCUUUUACAGCCACCACUUGGCCGCCUGCCCAGGAAAGUUCUAUAGGCUGAGCUAUCGCAGAAGGAAGACAAGCAGAAGGAGUCAGUGAAAGUCACGACCCCAUGGACUAUACAAUCCCUGGAAUUCUCCAGGCCAGAAUACUGGAGGGGGUAGCCUUUCCCUUCUCCAGGGGAUCUUCCCAACCCAGGGAUCGAACCCAGGUCUCCUGCAUUGCAGGCAGAUUCUUUACCAGCUGAGCUACAAGAGAAGUCCAAGCAGAGGGAAGAGACAUAUACUUCUGAUGACAUAGUUUGAGCACCAGGAUUCAGGUGAAUCUGAGGCCAUUGACUAGUGAAUAAACUCCCCAGUUUUGCCCCAGCUGAUUGUGGGUAGUUACUGCCUUCUAAAGCCUUUGUUCUUUCCUGACCCCAUAGCCCCUCCAGGAGGUACACAGGUGUCUCUUUUCUUUCCCUCCUUCAUCAUGUAAUUUCUAGAAGAAAGAAACCUCAGAACAAGGAAAGCCAAGGUGCACCAAAAAUAACAACCCAAACUCCACACAGAUAAAACUUGUUUCCUCUUUUCCCCAACCUCAGGAUGUUUUGGUUUCCAAAGAAACCAUAGGAAAUCACAACUGACUUCUUCAUCUUUUUUUUUUUUCUGAGUCUUUUAUCAAAUAUUUCUG